rnacentral:misc_RNA from 1 species
CCAAUUUCAAUGUCCAUUUAUGGGCUUGAAAACCCCCACCCUUGUUUAUUUAACCUCUGUUGCCUCGGCGGGUUCGCCCGCCAGAGGACUAUUCUAAACUCUUGUUGUAAACGGCGUUUGUCUGAGCUACAAAGCAAUUGUUUA